CAAAACACCUUGAAGAGAGAGUUAAACAGGACGUGAAACCGAUGAGGUGGAAACGGACAGAGUCGGCGUAUCUAGCCUGUAUUCAACUGGAGACCCAAGCACAUUGGGUAGGCCUUUUCCAGAUUGGACAGGYGAUCCAACUGUUUGGGRGUCUACAGUGCAUUUGCAAGUGGAGUGCGCUGAGGUGGUCGGGUUAGCUGCKUGAUCUCGGGUUUGAGGCCAGCCCCUCGGGGUAUGGUACCCGGCUCGGGGGAGUGCUGUUUAGCCUGUUCAACUUGUAUGGAAAUGGUAUCGGGUCCGGCUGGUAUCCAGCUAACAACUGGUGGCGGUCGCAUGCGACACGUACUAGUGGUUGGUUGGGUCCUGGUCUGGCUCCCAUGUUUUCCAAUCCUCGGUGUAAAAACCGGUCAUCUGUCCGACCCGUCUUGAAACACGGACCAAGGAGUUUAGCGUGUGCGCGAGUCAUUGGGUGUUGGAAACCCAAAGGCGCAAUGAAAGUGAAGGUCUCUCUUGUGGAGCUGAUGUGUGACCCGGGUCACCGAGGUGGCCCGGAGCAACAUGGUCCCGUCCUGAUCGCUUGCGAUGGGGCGGAGACAGAGCGUACGCGCUGAGACCCGAAAGAUGGUGAACUAUUCCUGAGCAGGACGAAGCCAGAGGAAACUCUGGUGGAAGUCCGAAGCGAUUCUGACGUGCAAAUCGAUCGUCUGAC
rnacentral:rRNA from 1 species